AAGCAGUUUCUUGAUUUGUACAUAUGUACAACUUCUUUCAUUUUGGGAAUCUGUGUGUGUAUGUAUCUUGUAUUUUUUCUUCUACUAUAGGCACAAGGCCUGAAAUUUGGGGGAAAGGGCAAUUCGAUUACUUCGACCCCAGUGUGCAACUGGUACUUAAAUUAUCGACCCGAAAGGAUAAAAGGCAAAGUUGACCUCAGUGGAAUUUGAACUCAGAAUGUAGCGGCAGAUGAAAUACCGCUAAGCAUUUCGCCCAGCGUGCUAACGUUUCUGCCAGCUUACCGCCGUGUCUUUUGAAGCCCCUGAGGUCAGUUCAACUAGUCAUCGAAUUCAGCUCUUUCUGUAUCGACAAUUAAAGUCACCCCUUAGAUUUUCAUCUUCUCAGAAGAGAUCACGCAAGAUGGAUGUAGAAGACUGGAAUGUAGAUAACUCCUUAAGCGAAAGAGUGAUGCCUUUUCAGUAUUAUAUUCUUCCCAAACCCACUUCUUGUCAUAUUAGCGAUGCAAUAUCCGCCACCCAAAAUGAAGCUACAACAGAUUCCGCACCAUCUAAUUUGAAAAACUGGAGAAUUGAUUUUCUGCCGAAGAUGAUCAUAAUAUAUCUUGUGAUAUGGUUGUAAUAAUAAUAAUAAUAAUAAUAAUAAUCCUUUAAACCAAUAAACAAUAAAAAGAA